UGGGGAAUAUUGCGCAAUGGGCGAAAGCCUGACGCAGCAACGCCGCGUGAGUGAUGAAGGCCUUCGGGUCGUAAAGCUCUGUCGGAGGGAACGAAUGCUCUUGAGGUUAACAGCCUCGGGAGGUGACGGUACCCUCAAAGGAAGCACCGGCUAACUCUGUGCCAGCAGCCGCGGUAAUACGAAGGGGGCUAGCGUUGUUCGGAAUUACUGGGCGUAAAGCGCACGUAGGCGGAUUUGUAAGUCAGGGGUGAAAUCCCGGGGCUCAACCUCGGAACUGCGUUUGUGACUGUGUUGCUAGAGUGUAGCAGAGGGGGGUGGAAUUCCACGUGUAGCAGUGAAAUGCGUAGAGAUGUGGAGGAACACCGAUGGCGAAGGCAGCCCCCUGGGUUAACACUGACGCUCAUGCACGAAAGCGUGGGGAGCAAACAGGAUUAGAUACCCACGUAGUCCCUGAGCGGGCUGGCAAGGCGCAU
rnacentral:rRNA from 1 species